rnacentral:lncRNA from 1 species
AAAAUACAAGUCCAAGGCCAGAAAUGUAGCUCAGUGGUAGUGUGCUUGCCUAGUUUGUAUGAUGUCCUGGGUUCUAUCCCUGGCACUGUAAAAAUACAAAAACAUAAGUGAACUUUGUGACUCUGGGAAAAGUCCUCUAAUUAGCAGAGUUUUCACUAAUAAUAUGCAUAUAAAAUCUUGUUGGAUGAUUAUAAGAAAUAAAGAUAAAAGAAAACAGCCUGUAUUCUUUGAUUGCCAUUCUGACAGGAGUGAAAUGAAAACUUAGAGUAGUUUUGAUUUGCAUUUCUUUAGUUACAAGAGGUGUUGAACAAUUUUUUAUAUAUUAGUUGAUCAGUUGUAUUUCUUCUGUGAAUUGUCUGUUCUAUUCGUUAACCCAAUCUGUAGGCUCUCUCCUCAGGUUAUUAAUUGUUUCCUUUGCUGAGAAGAAGCUUUUAAAUUUGAGUCCAUCCCAUUUAUUGAUUCUUGAUUUUACUUCUUGCACUUUAGGAGUCUUGUUAAGGAAGUCAGAUCCUAGGCCGACAUGGUAAAGAUUUGAGCCUAUUUUUUUUUCCAUUAGGCACAGGGUCUCUGUUCUAGUGCCUAAGUCUUUGAUCCACUUUGAAUUGAUUUUUGUGCAGGGUGAGAAAUAGAGGUUUAAUUUCAUUUUGUUACAUAUGGAUUUCCAAUUUUCCCAGCACCAUUUUUUGAAUAGGCUAUCUUUUCUCCAGUGAAUGUUUUUGGUGUCUUUGUCUAGUAAGAGAUAACUUUAUUUUUGUGGGUUUGUCUCUGUUUUCUAUUCUGUACCAUUGGUCUGUGUGUCUGUUUCAGUGCCAAUACCAUGCUGUUUUUGUUACUAUGGCUCUGUAGUAUAAUUUAAAGUCUGGUAUUGUGAUGCUUCCUGCUUCACUCAUUUUGCUAAGGAUUGCUUUGGCUAUUCUGGAUCUCUUAUUUUUCCAAAUGAAUUUAAUGAUUGCUUUUUCUUUUUCUAUGAAGAAUGACAUUGAGAUUUUAAUAGGAAUUGUGUUAAAUCUGUAUAAUGCUUUUGGU